rnacentral:rRNA from 1 species
AAGGAUCAUUGUUGAAACCCUGCAAAAGCAGAAUGACCCGCGAACUCGUAAAAUACAAACCCGGGGGCGAGGGGCAACCCGGACCCCUUUGGCGGGGGGUGCAGCUCGGGCGUUGCUGGUCGAUGCCCGCUGCUGCCGCCUUCCCUGCCGCACAAAUGAACCCCGGCGCAAACCGCGCCAAGGAACUCAAACGAAUGAAGCGUAUGCCCCGGCGCCCCAGAGAUGGUGCGCGUCGGGGUGUUGCGUCGUAUUCUAUAUGUCAAAACGACUCUCGGCAACGGAUAUCUCGGCUCUCGCAUCGAUGAAGAACGUAGCGAAAUGCGAUACUUGGUGUGAAUUGCAGAAUCCCGUGAACCAUCGAGUCUUUGAACGCAAGUUGCGCCCGAAGCCAUUAGGCCGAGGGCACGUCUGCCUGGGCGUCACACAACGUUGCCCCCCAACCCCAAACCUCGACCUCGAGGAGGGACGGGGAGCGGAUGCUGGCCUCCCGUGUGCCAUGGCUCGCGGUUGGCCUAAAUACGAGCACUCGGCGACGAGCGCCGCGGCAAUCGGUGGUUGUCCAACCCUCGGUGCCACGCUGCGCGCGCAAGUCGCUCAUCUGUGCUCAUCGGCCCCUAAUGCGCCGCACACGCGGCGUCCACAACGCGACCCCAGGUCAGGCGGGGCUACCCGCUGAGUUUAA